GGGUUGUGAGGUUAAGCGACUAAGCGUACACGGUGGAUGCCCAGGCAGUCAGAGGCGAUGAAGGACGUGCUAAUCUGCGUAAAGCGACGGUAAGGUGAUAUGAACCGCUACAGCCGUCGAUGUCCGAAUGGGGAAACCCGGUGCACUCUGUGCAUCAUUGCAGCAUGAAUACAUAGUGCUGCAAGGCGAACCGGGGGAACUGAAACAUCUAAGUACCCCGAGGAAAAGAAAUCAACCGAGAUUCCCCCAGUAGCGGCGAGCGAACGGGGAGCAGCCCAGAGCCUGAAUCAGCUUGUGUGUUAGUGGAAGCGUCUGGAAAGUCGCAGGGUACAGGGUGAUACUCCCGUACACAAAAACACACAUGCUGUGAGCUCGAUGAGUAAGGCGGGACACGUGGUAUCCUGUCUGAAUAUGGGGGGACCAUCCUCCAAGGCUAAAUACUCCUGACUGACCGAUAGUGAACCAGUACCGUGAGGGAAAGGCGAAAAGAACCCCGGCGAGGGGAGUGAAACAGAACCUGAAACCGUGUACGUACAAGCAGUGGGAGCCUUCUUUAUGGGGGUGACUGCGUACCUUUUGUAUAAUGGGUCAGCGACUUAUAUUCUGUAGCAAGGUUAACCGUAUAGGGGAGCCGCAGGGAAACCGAGUCUUAACUGGGCGUUAAGUUGCAGGGUAUAGACCCGAAACCCGGUGAUCUAGCCAUGGGCAGGUUGAAGGUUGGGUAACACUAACUGGAGGACCGAACCGACUAAUGUUGAAAAAUUAGCGGAUGACCUGUGGCUGGGGGUGAAAGGCCAAUCAAACCGGGAGAUAGCUGGUUCUCCCCGAAAGCUAUUUAGGUAGCGCCUCGUGAACUCAUCUUCGGGGGUAGAGCACUGUUUCGGCUAGGGGGCCAUCCCGGCUUACCAACCCGAUGCAAACUGCGAAUACCGAAGAAUGUUAUCACGGGAGACACACGGCGGGUGCUAACGUCCGUCGUGAAGAGGGAAACAACCCAGACCGCCAGCUAAGGUCCCAAAGUCAUGGUUAAGUGGGAAACGAUGUGGGAAGGCACAGACAGCCAGGAUGUUGGCUUAGAAGCAGCCAUCAUUUAAAGAAAGCGUAAUAGCUCACUGGUCGAGUCGGCCUGCGCGGAAGAUGUAACGGGGCUAAACCAUGCACCGAAGCUGCGGCAGCGACACUUAUGUGUUGUUGGGUAGGGGAGCGUUCUGUAAGCCGUCGAAGGUGUGCUGUGAGGCAUGCUGGAGGUAUCAGAAGUGCGAAUGCUGACAUAAGUAACGAUAAAGCGGGUGAAAAGCCCGCUCGCCGGAAGACCAAGGGUUCCUGUUCAACGUUAAUCGGAGCAGGGUGAGUCGACCCCUAAGGCGAGGCCGAAAGGCGUAGUCGAUGGGAAACAGGUUAAUAUUCCUGUACUCGGUGUUACUGCGAAGGGGGGACGGAGAAGGCUAUAUCAGCCGGGCGACGGUUGUCCCGGUUUAAGCGUGUAGGCGGAGUGUCCAGGUAAAUCCGGACGCUUAUUAACGCUGAGGCGUGACGACGAGGCACUACGGUGCUGAAGUGAUAAAUGCCCAGCUUCCAGGAAAAGCCUCUAAGCAUCAGGUAACACAGAAUCGUACCCCAAACCGACACAGGUGGUCAGGUAGAGAAUACCAAGGCGCUUGAGAGAACUCGGGUGAAGGAACUAGGCAAAAUG
rnacentral:rRNA from 1 species